ensembl:lncRNA
UUGUAGUCGUGACGUGGGGCCUUCAGCUGAUGGCACGUGCCCGGCAGGGCGGCCUGGGCACGGAGACCUGCUUCUGGAUCGCAGCUCCGUCUGCUGCUCUGAACCUCCCUCCAGCAGGCGUCCCGGCCGUCGGUGACCACACCGCGUGCCCUCUUGCCCUGCACCAGGAAGCCCUGGCGCAGUGCUGGGCCUCUCCACCCACCUCUGCCCUCCAGGGUCCCUGCUCCCUCCCUCCCGCCUUGUUCUGUGCCUGCGCCCCGAAGGUGGAGCACAGACCUGGAGCACAGACUGCCUGCCCGUCUGCAUACCCAUCGCCGCUCUAGCUAAGGGCCGAAGCCCUGGAUCCUCCAGGGCAGAGCGCCGGGCCGCUGGGUCGCUGGGGCUGGGCGCAGCCCUGACGCUGUCUCAUCGUGUCUCAGAUGGCGGUUUCUGGGUGUGGCGUGAGGACCGCCGUGACAGGACAUGACUCGUUCCGAUGCUGCGUCAUUGUAGUCGUGACGUGGGGCCUUCAGCUGAUGGCACGUGCCCGGCAGGGCGGCCUGGGCACGGAGACCUGCUUCUGGAUCGCAGCUCCGUCUGCUGCUCUGAACCUCCCUCCAGCAGGCGUCCCGGCCGUCGGUGACCACACCGCGUGCCCUCUUGCCCUGCACCAGGAAGCCCUGACGCAGUGCUGGGCCUCUCCAGGCCCACCCUGACCCUCCAGGCACGUGGUCAGAGCUCCAGCCUCUGGACGGCCAGGCCAUCCGUGGGAGCUCUGGGGUCUCCUCCCGGUCAGGUGCUGGCCGUGCAGCCCAGUCUGUGCAGCGUGAGGCAGACACGGACGCCAGAGACCGCGCCCGCCGUGGGCCCUGGAACUUGCAUGCGGGUGCACACAUCCUGCUUCCUUUUCUUCAGGCGUUGCUGGAAGAAGCAAAGGAUGUGCUUUCUGACUGGCUGGAUUCCAUGCGGCAGUGAGGUGACGGACAAUUCUAUUUUCUCUGAACUGCCCAAAUUCUGGGAGGCGGAGUUCCACAAAGACAUGGAAGCCCUGAGCGUCCUCCCUCCGGACGUCCUGACCGGGUUAGUGAGUACGUGCCAGAGAUCGUGGACUUUGUCCAGAAGAUCGUGGACAACGGUUACGGGUGAGCUCAAGGCUCCAGGAAGGUGUGCCCAGGGGCGCGGGUCUCCGCUGGCUUGGAGAGGAGCAGGGAGGCGCAGGGAGCCGCCAGGGCGGUGGCGGCCCUGGGCUCCCGUCUCAGAGCUGCACGGCACGUGAGCAGUGGAAGGGCCACCACGCGGCUGCAGCGGUCCUGUGAGGGCACACCCUCGUCCCUCCCUGAGCCCCAGCUCCUCUUCUUAAAGGACACCAGUCUUGCUGCGUCAGGGCCCACCCUGGAGGCCUCGUUUUAACUCGAGCUCCUCUGUAAAAGCCCUUUUCCAAAUGCAGUCAGGCGGCGAGGUGCUGGGGUCAGGGCUGGCAGGCAGAGGCGAGGGCAGCAUGCAGGGCAGAGUCACCCGGGCAGGGGCAGGGCACAGGCCGGGCUGUUGGGGAGUCGGGGCCCCAUCCCAGCCACGCUCGUCACAGCCCGUUUGGCCCACUCGGUGGCCAUGUUGGAACAGCCUGCUGGCGGCCUGCUGCACAGGGUGCGGAGCAGACCCCUAUGGCCUCUGGGUCCCCAGGCCGGCCAGCCGGGCAGCUCGUCACGCCUUCC